GAAGCAAAGCCGCGAGGUAGAGCAAAUCUCAAAAAAACAAUCUCAGUUCAGACUGCAGGCUGCAACUCGCCUGCACGAAGUCGGAAUUGCUAGUAAUCGUAGGUCAGCAUACUACGGUGAAUACGUUCCCGGGCCUUGUACACACCGCCCGUCAAACCAUGAGAGUUGGCAACACCCGAAGUCGGUAGUCUAACCACAAGGAGGACGCCGCCGAAGGUGGGGUUGAUGAUUAGGGUUAAGUCGUAACAAGGUAGC
rnacentral:rRNA from 1 species